AGGACGAACGCUGGCGGCGUGCUUAACACAUGCAAGUCGAGCGGAAAGGCCCUUCGGGGUACUCGAGCGGCGAACGGGUGAGUAACACGUGAGCAACCUGCCCCUGACUCUGGGAUAAGCCUAGGAAACUGGGUCUAAUACCGGAUAGUACCCCCUGUUUCAUGGUGGGGGGUGGAAAGUUUUUCGGUUGGGGAUGGGCUCGCGGCCUAUCAGCUUGUUGGUGGGGUGAUGGCCUACCAAGGCGACGACGGGUAGCCGGCCUGAGAGGGCGACCGGCCACACUGGGACUGAGACACGGCCCAGACUCCUACGGGAGGCAGCAGUGGGGAAUAUUGCGCAAUGGGCGAAAGCCUGACGCAGCGACGCCGCGUGGGGGAUGAAGGCCUUCGGGUUGUAAACCCCUUUCAGCACCGACGAAGCGAAAGUGACGGUAGGUGCAGAAGAAGCGCCGGCUAACUACGCGCCAGCAGCCGC
rnacentral:rRNA from 1 species